CUCUAAGUCUGAAUUGUGCUAGUCUCUCUCUCUCUCCAAUGCAGCUAAUAUCAAAUACUGUUCUGUUACAAGGUUAUGGUAAAUCUCUCUUCCCAACUAUUGAUAAUGUACAUGUAGACCCAUGCCUGUGAUAGUAUGGAAGAUUCCUAAACACUUGUUUUGUUGUCUGUCAUGUCUCAUUACUAUUGUGUGUAUAGUUGAGCCAUUUCUUUAUCGAGUAUCACAAGGACCAGAAUAGCAACUGAGGUUAAUGCACUGCAAGGAAGGAAAAAGAAGCAUCCAUGUGUUGAGCAGAGGACAACAGAGUGCUGUUGCCCCAGCAAGAUGUGUGUGGUCACUCUGUUGUCCAAGACUGGCAAAGUCCAACGAAUGAGUCAUACAAGCUUGGUCACAGAAGCAACAAUAGGAAUCAUAAUAGGGCUUUACAACUGUUACAGGGUCAUUACAUGUAUGUUCUCUCUAAUACAUAAUUUCAUUUUCUUCUGUGCUUUACUGUGUAAAUUAAUGGAUUUUCUCCUUGCUGAGAAGUUCCUUCUGAAGGCAAUUGCUCAGUUUGAUUCUGAAAGAAAAUUGUACUGUUUUUGACACAAGGAUGCAACUGAAGUGGGCAAAUGGUUUGAGUAUCACCACUCCAGCUUGUCAGUUUCUCCUAUACAAACUGCAGGCCCAGUCCUCCUGGGAGGUCAUCUCAUUCAGCUGAUGCUCUGGCCAUGGAAAGGUUUAUCACUGGGAUCAAGGUGCAAAUUGUGAUCAAAUCCAUUUAAACCAGUCUGUUUAUGGUAGUGAAAAAGUAGCAUGCAUAAUGUCACACUUGCCACCUUUAAAAGCGGUAUUCAGCGUCUUACAGAGUCAUCUCCCAUGGUAGCCAAAACCAAGCUAAAAUUAAAAGCCAGGAUAGCUCCAAAAGAGUCUUCUGGAGACCUCAGGCCUCUCUGAAGAGACUUUGAGAUUCCUAGAAUGGCGUAAGGUUAAAGACAAUGUAGAAACAAAGAAAAUUUAUGGGAGAUGGACUCAGAGUUCUCCAUGGAUG
rnacentral:lncRNA from 1 species